rnacentral:rRNA from 1 species
CUUGACCUACGGGGGGCAGCAGUGGGGAAUAUUGCACAAUGGGCGGAAGCCUGAUGCAGCAACGCCGCGUGAAGGAAGAUGGUUUUCGGAUUGUAAACUUCUGUUCUUAGUGAAGAGUAAUGACGGUAACUAAGGAGCAAGCCACGGCUAACUACGUGCCAGCAGCCGCGGUAAUACGUAGGUGGCAAGCGUUGUCCGGAAUUACUGGGUGUAAAGGGAGCGUAGGCGGGAAGCCAAGUCAGCUGUGAAAACUACGGGCUUAACCUGUAGACUGCAGUUGAAACUGGCUUUCUUGAGUGAAGUAG